CCUACGGGAGGCUGCAGUGGGGAAUAUUGGACAAUGGGGGGAACCCUGAUCCAGCCAUGCCGCGUGUGUGAAGAAGGCCCUCGGGUUGUAAAGCACUUUCAGUGAGGAAGAACGCCUGGUGGUUAAUACCCAUCAGGAAAGACAUCACUCACAGAAGAAGCACCGGCUAACUCCGUGCCAGCAGCCGCGGUAAUACGGAGGGUGCGAGCGUUAAUCGGAAUUACUGGGCGUAAAGCGCGCGCAGGUGGCUUGAUAAGCCGGUUGUGAAAGCCCCGGGCUCAACCUGGGAACGGCAUCCGGAACUGUCAAGCUAGAGUGCAGGAGAGGAAGGUAGAAUUCCCGGUGUAGCGGUGAAAUGCGUAGAGAUCGGGAGGAAUACCAGUGGCGAAGGCGGCCUUCUGGACUGACACUGACACUGAGGUGCGAAAGCGUGGGUAGCAAACAGGAUUAGAUACCCCUGUAGUC
rnacentral:rRNA from 1 species